CAACUACUCCCUCUGUCCCAAAAUUCUUGUCUUAGAUUUGUCUAGAUACGGAUGUAUCUAAUACUAAAAUGUGACUUGAUACAUCCGUAUCUAGACAAAUCUAAGACAAGAAUUUCGGGACGGAGGGAGUACUUU
rnacentral:pre_miRNA from 1 species